CUGAAAUGUAACAUUAAGCAUUGUCAAUUUGCGUCCACUAAAAGACCUGUUUUUGCCACUGACAGGCUCAGAUUAUUAUUCUUUGUGUUUGACAACAUUAUGGAAAGAUUCUCAGAUACAGAUA